CCUACGGGAGGCAGCAGUGGGGAAUAUUGCACAAUGGGCGCAAGCCUGAUGCAGCGAUGCCGCGUGUGUGAAGAAGGCCUUCGGGUUGUAAAGCACUUUCAGCGGGGAGGAAGGAGAUAAGGUUAAUAACCUUGGCGAUUGACGUUACCCGACGACGAAGCAACGGCUAACUCCGUGCCAGCAGCCGCGGUAAUACGGAGGUUGCAAGCGUUAAUCGGAAUUACUGGGCGUAAAGCGCACGCAGGCGGUCUGUCAAGGCGGAUGUGAAAUCCGCGGGCUCAACCUGGGAACUGCAUUCGAAACUGGAAGGCUAGAGUGUUGGAGAGGGGGGUAGAAUUCCAGGUGUAGCGGUGAAAUGCGUAGAGAGCUGGAGGAAUACUGGUGGCGAAGGCGGCCCCCUGGACAAAGACUGACGCUCAGGUGCGAAAGCGUGGGGAGCAAACAGGAUUAGAUACCCUUGUAGUC
rnacentral:rRNA from 1 species